UGAUCACCAAGAUUAAAGUAUUUUAAAAGAGUAGUUUAUUGAACAGAAAAUUGUGUCAAUGAUGUUAAAAUUAAUAAAGAAGAGAAAAAAAGGAUGCUUUAGUAAGAAUUAUCCAACAGCGGCUUCUUUCAACGACAAUAAUUAUUCGAUCGAUGAAUUUGCGCAGAGAUUUUUCGAUCAGAUUCCACGUUGUAAUAGGUUGGUUGUGUAGGUGUUUUGUAUAUAAUAUUUGUUUUAUACUCCUCUUUACAACAUAAAACGUUCUCUUUAUUUUACACAGAACAUCAAAAUUUUUCUCAUCCACCACCAACUUCCGUCCCUAUACAAUCAACGAAAUCAAACGUCCAAUUAGCACCACCACCACCGCUCAUUGUCUCAUCAAAUGUUGAACAGAUUUCUAAUUCACCACCGCUUAACGGAAAUUCGCACUCUAACGUCGCUAGUUCUAUGCUUAAGUACCAAACUAAUAACAAUAACGCGUAAGGAAAAGUUUUUUUUUCUCUUAUUCUCUUUUUUGUGUUAUUUCAUUUCUUGUUCUUUAUUCAUUUCCACAAUUUUCAUUCUUUCUUUUCUUUUGCAGAAAAUUUUCUGAAGUCAAAUUAACAAGGGAAGCGAUGCGAGCAUACCUGGAUCAUCGCUGUCACCAUACCCUACUGAUUUAUCACGCUAAAGUUGCACAGAAGAGUUAUGGAAAUGAAAAAAGAUUCUUUUGUCCUCCCCCUUGUAUAUAUUUAAAGAAUGGCGGUUGGAAAAGACGCUUGGAGCAGAUGGAAAACGAAGGGAUCCCCGAAGGCGAUAGACAAUUAUGCGCAUUUAUGGGCAUUGGUAAUUCAAAUCAUGAUAUGAAUCAAUUACAAUUGGAUGGUAAAGACUACUGCGCUGCCAAGACACUUUUCAUAUCGGAUGCUGACAAGCGAAAACAUUUCCAUCUUAACGUCAAAUUAUUCUAUUCUAACGGCCACGAUAUUGGAUCGUUUCCUUCAAAGCGUAUCAAGGUUAUAAGCAAACCAUCAAAAAAGAAACAAUCUCUGAAAAAUUCAGAUUUAUGUAUAGAAAGUGGAACCCAGGUGGCGUUGUUCAAUCGUCUUAGAUCACAAACGGUUUCAACCAGAUAUUUACAUGUUGAGAAGAGUGGUGAUAGUUACAAUUUCCAUGCUUCGUCAACUCAUUGGGGGUCGUUUACAAUUCAUCUCUUGGACAAUAACGAAGAUGAAAGUGAAGAAUUCAGUGUUUGCGACGGUUUUAUUCACUACGGCCAAACCAUUAAACUAGUCUGUGUCGAAACGGGUAUGACAUUACCACGUCUCAUAAUUAGAAAAGUCGACAAGCAAACUGUGCUGCUCGACGCUGACGAUCCAGUUUCUCAGCUUCAUAAAUGCGCAUUUUAUAUGAAAGAUACCGAACGCAUGUAUGUUUGCCUCGCUCAAGAGCGAAUAAUUCAGUUUCAAUCGACACCCUGCCCAAAAGAACCUAACAGAGAAAUGAUAAACGAUGGGGCGUCUUGGACAAUAAUAUCAACAGACAAAGCCGAGUACAGCUUUUUUGAAGGUAUGGGUGCAGUUGACAAGCCACUAACGCCAGUGCCGACAGUUACUCAAUUGGAAGUAGCUGGUGGAGGAGAUGUUGCCAUGCUUGAGCUAAGUGGUCAUAAUUUUACAGCGAAUCUCAAAGUAUGGUUUGACGUUGUUGAAGCGGAAACAAUGUUCAGAUGCGAAGAAUCUAUGCUUUGCGUUGUACCCGAUAUAUCGUAUUUUAAUUCUGAUUGGAAGUACGUUCAUUCAACUUUAAAAGUACCAAUAUCCUUAAUAAGAGGCGAUGGAGUAAUUUAUCCAACUGGUCUGAAUUUUACGUAUACACCUGAACCGGGGCCACACAAUUCCCAAAUUAAACACCUACAAUCAUCUUUAAAUACUUAGAUUAUUAUUUUUUCUCAAUUGAAAACUAAUUCAAUUCUAGUAUCAUAUUUUUAAAUGAGAUUGUUGAUAUUGUCAAAAUUUUUAGAGUAUUAUUUUUCUCUGUAUAUCUUUUUCAUUUGAAUUUUAUCUUUUUCUCUUAAUUAAUUCUAUUAAUCCUAAACAGAAU
rnacentral:misc_RNA from 1 species